rnacentral:rRNA from 1 species
UACGUAGGGUGCAAGCGUUGUCCGGAAUUAUUGGGCGUAAAGAGCUCGUAGGCGGUCCGUCACGUCGGCUGUGAAAACUUGGGGCUCAACCCCGGGCCUGCAGCCGAUACGGGCGGACUAGAAUUCGGUAGGGGAGACUGGAAUUCCUGGUGUAGCGGUGAAAUGCGCAGAUAUCAGGAGGAACACCGGUGGCGAAGGCGGGUCUCUGGGCCGAUAUUGACGCUGAGGAGCGAAAGCGUGGGGAGCGAACAGG